AUUGAAUUUAACUUUUAAGGAAAAGGCUUAAAUGGGUUAGAGGGACGAUAAGACCCUAUAAAGUUUAUACAUAGAGUUAAUCAAGAGUGAUUUGGAAUAGUAAAGUUCAUUAUUAGCAAGAUGUUUAGUUGGGGUGACUAGAAUAUAAGUUAUAUAACUGUUUUUUGUUUUAAUCAGAGAUAUCUGUUUAUAUGGUCCCUUUUUAGGAUUAGAGAGUAAAUUACUUUAGGGAUAACAGCGUAAUUUUUUUUAA
rnacentral:rRNA from 1 species